rnacentral:ncRNA from 2 species
AUAAUUUUUGGGAAUGAAGUUCUCCCAUGAGAAAUCUAAACCGUCAAGUAAGACUAAUGACUUCUAUGAUUUA